rnacentral:rRNA from 1 species
GCAAGACAUGCAGUCGAACGAUCCCGCUGGGAGAGUGGCGGAAGGGUGAGUAACACGUGGGAAUCUACCUCCUCGCAGGGAACAACCUCUCGAAAGAGAGGCUAAUACCCAAAAGGGUCAGAAAUGAUCAAAGUCGAAAGGCGUGAGGAGAGGAGCCCGCGGCCCAUCAGCUAGUUGGUGAGGUAAUGGCUUACCAAGGCUACUACGGGUAGGGGAUCUGACAGGAUGUCCCCCACACUGGAACUGAAACACGGUCCAGACGCCUACGGGUGGCAGCAGUGAGGAAUAUUGGACAAUGGGCGAAGGCCCGAUCCAGCAACGCCGCGUGGAGGAUGAAGGCCUUCGGGUCGUAAACUUCUUUAGAGGGAGACGAGAAAGGACGGUAUCCCUAUAAUAAGCGACGGCAAACUACGUGCCAUCACCCGCGGUAACACGUACGUCGCGAGCGUUAUCCGGAUUUACUGGGCGUAAAGCGCUUGUAGGCGGUUCUGUAAGUCGGGCGUGAAAUCUCCGGGCUUAACCCGGAGUGGCCGUUCGAUACUGCAGGGCUUGAGGAUGCUAGAGGGUGGUGGAAUUCCAGGUGUAGUGGUGAAAUGCGUAGAUAUCUGGAGGAACAUCCGUGGCGAAGGCGGCCACCUGGGGCAUUCCUGACGCUGAGAAGCGACAGCUAGGGGAUCAAACUGACAUUAGAAACCCCGGUAGUCCUAGCCGUACACGAUGAACGCUACGUGUUGGCAUAUCUAACCCUGUCUGCGCCGAAGCAGACGCGUUAAGCGUCCCGCC